rnacentral:rRNA from 1 species
UUUACACAUGCAAGUCGAGCGGCAGCGCGGGGGCAACCCUGGCGGCGAGCGGCGAACGGGUGAGUAAUACAUCGGAACGUGUCCCGUAGUGGGGGAUAGCCCGGCGAAAGCCGGAUUAAUACCGCAUAUGCUCUACGGAGGAAAGUGGGGGACUCGCAAGGGCCUCACGCUAUGGGAGCGGCCGAUGUCCGAUUAGCUUGUUGGCGGGGUAAUGGCCCACCAAGGCGACGAUCGGUAGCUGGUCUGAGAGGAUGAUCAGCCACACUGGGACUGAGACACGGCCCAGACUCCUACGGGAGGCAGCAGUGGGGAAUUUUGGACAAUGGGGGCAACCCUGAUCCAGCCAUGCCGCGUGAGUGAAGAAGGCCUUCGGGUUGUAAAGCUCUUUCGGUAGGAACGAAACGGUUACGGCGAAUACCCGUGACUACUGACGGUACUUACAGAAGAAGCACCGGCUAACUACGUGCCAGCAGCCGCGGUAAUACGUAGGGUGCGAGCGUUAAUCGGAAUUACUGGGCGUAAAGCGUGCGCAGGCGGUCUCGUAAGCUGGGUGUGAAAGCCCCGGGCUUAACCUGGGAAUGGCAUUCAGGACUGCGAGGCUCGAGUGUGGCAGAGGGAGGUGGAAUUCCACGUGUAGCAGUGGAAUGCGUAGAAAUGUGGAGGAACACCGAUGGCGAAGGCAGCCUCCUGGGCCAGCACUGACGCUCAAGCACGAAAG